UUGGUGCAUUUGCGGGAGCU
rnacentral:siRNA from 1 species